rnacentral:lncRNA from 1 species
GCACACUCUUGAAGUGACCGGCCUGGAGACGGUUGCCCAGAGCAAGUUCACAAUGUCUAAAAGUCAGCUGAUUUUGUGUUAAAAUUCAGUGUCUGGCUUUGCUUCAAAAAUUGGGAAGAUCGGCCGGACGCGGUGGCUCACGCCUGUAAUCUCAGCACUUUGGGAGGCCGAGGUGGGUGGAUCACGAGGUCAGGAGAUCGAGACCAUCCUGGCUAACAUGGUGAAACCCUGUCUCUACUAAAAAUACAAAAAAAAAAAAAAAAAAAAAAAAAUUAGCCGGGCGUGGUGGCGGGCGCCUAUAGUCCCAGCUACUCCGGAGGCUGAGGCAGGAGAAUGGCGUGAACCCAGGAGGCAGAGCUUGCAAUGAGCCGAGAUCGCACCACUGAACUGCAGCCUGGGCAACAGAGAGAGACUCCGUCUCAAAAAAAAAAAAAAAAAAAUGGGGGAGAUCAGGUGACAUUGGGCCUGUGUUCCCACAUACCAGCAAUCUGCCCUAGCUGAGUGGUGGCUGUCCCUUUGGAAGGCUCUACAGUUUGCCACCAUCUCCACACCUCCCUCUUCCAGGGCCAGCCACCAUUUAUCAUCAGGCUUGCGCUGUUGUUUCUCUUAAAGAAAAGUGAAUUCUCUUUUUGUUCCUAUGUCUCUAUCAAAAGUGGGAAAAUGAAAGAUGGAUUGAUAGCGCCGCGUGUUUCAAGAGAAGUGGGAGCAAGCAUAUUUCUUUGUGGAAGUAUAGUCCUAUGUGUUUAAUAUGUAACCAAACUUUGUCUGUGUCAAAAGAAUACAACUGAAGAUGUCAUUAUGAAACAAACCAUGGUGAGAAUUUUGACUAGUUUACAGAAAAGAUGCAUGAUGAAAAACUCAAUGAACUUAGAAAAGGACUAAACUUUCUACAGCAUUAAUCAUCGAAUACAAAUAAAAUAAGUGAUGCUGCUGUGAAAUGCAGUUACAUAAUAAGUGAAAAAAUUGUCCGUGCUUCAAAAUCUUUUACAGAUGGUGAGUUUAUAAAAGACUGUCUAUUGAGUGCAGCGGAAAUCAUGUGUCCUGAACAGAAAGAAGCAUUUGCAGACAUAAGCCUAACCAGAAAAACUGUUGCUCAGAGAGUAAAAGAUAUGGCUGAGAAUUUACAGGAUAAGUUGUGAGAAAAAGUGAGAUCAUUUGUGACAUUUUCUAUUGCAGUUGAUGAGUGCACAUAUGUAAAUAAUACAAGUCAGUUAAUUAUGUUUA